rnacentral:rRNA from 1 species
UGUAAGCGUAUACCAAAGUUGUUGCAGUUAAAGCGCUCGUAGUCGGAAUUUGGCAGUUCCGGAUGUGUGCACGUCGUGUGCGCACUUCGCGGGGAUUGCUUUUGUGGUCUUGCGUAGGAUGAGGCACUUUUAUUAGUGAACGUCCUCACGCAACCACUUUUUACUGUGAGAAAAUCAGAGUGCUCAAAGCAGGCAUUUGCCGUGAAUGUAUUAGCAUGGAAUAAUAGAAUAGGACUUGGUUCUAUUUUGUUGGUUUGUUGGGACUGAGUAAUGAUUAAGAGGGACAGUUGGGGGCACUUGUAUUUCGGUGCUAGAGGUGAAAUUCUUAGAUUACCGAAAGACAAACUGCUGCGAAAGCGUCUGCCAAGGAUGUUUUCAUUGA